rnacentral:rRNA from 1 species
UUAAGCGACUAAGCGUACACGGUGGAUGCCCUGGCAGUCAGAGGCGAUGAAGGACGUGCUAAUCUGCGAUAAGCGUCGGUGAGGUGAUAUGAACCGUUAUAACCGGCGAUUUCCGAAUGGGGAAACCCAGUGUGUUUCGACACACUAUCAUUAACUGAAUCCAUAGGUUAAUGAGGCGAACCGGGGGAACUGAAACAUCUAAGUACCCCGAGGAAAAGAAAUCAACCGAGAUUCCCCCAGUAGCGGCGAGCGAACGGGGAGGAGCCCAGAGCCUGAAUCAGUGUGUGUGUUAGUGGAAGCGUCUGGAAAGGCGUGCGAUACAGGGUGACAGCCCCGUACACAAAAAUGCACAUAUUGUGAGCUCGAUGAGUAGGGCGGGACACGUAGUAUCCUGUCUGAAUAUGGGGGGACCAUCCUCCAAGGCUAAAUACUCCUGACUGACCGAUAGUGAACCAGUACCGUGAGGGAAAGGCGAAAAGAACCCCGGCGAGGGGAGUGAAAAAGAACCUGAAACCGUGUACGUACAAGCAGUGGGAGCCUCUUAAUGGGGUGACUGCGUACCUUUUGUAUAAUGGGUCAGCGACUUAUAUUCUGUAGCAAGGUUAACCGAAUAGGGGAGCCGAAGGGAAACCGAGUCUUAACUGGGCGUUAAGUUGCAGGGUAUAGACCCGAAACCCGGUGAUCUAGCCAUGGGCAGGUUGAAGGUUGGGUAACACUAACUGGAGGACCGAACCGACUAAUGUUGAAAAAUUAGCGGAUGACUUGUGGCUGGGGGUGAAAGGCCAAUCAAACCGGGAGAUAGCUGGUUCUCCCCGAAAGCUAUUUAGGUAGCGCCUCGUGAAUUCAUCUCCGGGGGUAGAGCACUGUUUCGGCAAGGGGGUCAUCCCGACUUACCAACCCGAUGCAAACUGCGAAUACCGGAGAAUGUUAUCACGGGAGACACACGGCGGGUGCUAACGUCCGUCGUGAAGAGGGAAACAACCCAGACCGCCAGCUAAGGUCCCAAAGUCAUGGUUAAGUGGGAAACGAUGUGGGAAGGCCCAGACAGCCAGGAUGUUGGCUUAGAAGCAGCCAUCAUUUAAAGAAAGCGUAAUAGCUCACUGGUCGAGUCGGCCUGCGCGGAAGAUGUAACGGGGCUAAACCAUGCACCGAAGCUGCGGCAGCGACACUAUGUGUUGUUGGGUAGGGGAGCGUUCUGUAAGCCUGUGAAGGUGGCCUGUGAGGGUUGCUGGAGGUAUCAGAAGUGCGAAUGCUGACAUAAGUAACGAUAAAGCGGGUGAAAAGCCCGCUCGCCGGAAGACCAAGGGUUCCUGUCCAACGUUAAUCGGGGCAGGGUGAGUCGACCCCUAAGGCGAGGCCGAAAGGCGUAGUCGAUGGGAAACAGGUUAAUAUUCCUGUACUUGGUGUUACUGCGAAGGGGGGACGGAGAAGGCUAUGUUGGCCGGGCGACGGUUGUCCCGGUUUAAGCGUGUAGGCUGGUUUUCCAGGCAAAUCCGGAAAACCAAGGCUGAGGCGUGAUGACGAGGCACUACGGUGCUGAAGUGACAAAUGCCCUGCUUCCAGGAAAAGCCUCUAAGCAUCAGGUAACAUCAAAUCGUACCCCAAACCGACACAGGUGGUCAGGUAGAGAAUACCAAGGCGCUUGAGAGAACUCGGGUGAAGGAACUAGGCAAAAUGGUGCCGUAACUUCGGGAGAAGGCACGCUGAUAUGUAGGUGAAGCGACUUGCUCGUGGAGCUGAAAUCAGUCGAAGAUACCAGCUGGCUGCAACUGUUUAUUAAAAACACAGCACUGUGCAAACACGAAAGUGGACGUAUACGGUGUGACGCCUGCCCGGUGCCGGAAGGUUAAUUGAUGGGGUUAGCGGCAACGCGAAGCUCUUGAUCGAAGCCCCGGUAAACGGCGGCCGUAACUAUAACGGUCCUAAGGUAGCGAAAUUCCUUGUCGGGUAAGUUCCGACCUGCACGAAUGGCGUAAUGAUGGCCAGGCUGUCUCCACCCGAGACUCAGUGAAAUUGAACUCGCUGUGAAGAUGCAGUGUACCCGCGGCAAGACGGAAAGACCCCGUGAACCUUUACUAUAGCUUGACACUGAACAUUGAGCCUUGAUGUGUAGGAUAGGUGGGAGGCUUUGAAGUGUGGACGCCAGUCUGCAUGGAGCCGACCUUGAAAUACCACCCUUUAAUGUUUGAUGUUCUAACGUUGGCCCGUAAUCCGGGUUGCGGACAGUGUCUGGUGGGUAGUUUGACUGGGGCGGUCUCCUCCUAAAGAGUAACGGAGGAGCACGAAGGUUGGCUAAUCCUGGUCGGACAUCAGGAGGUUAGUGCAAUGGCAUAAGCCAGCUUGACUGCGAGCGUGACGGCGCGAGCAGGUGCGAAAGCAGGUCAUAGUGAUCCGGUGGUUCUGAAUGGAAGGGCCAUCGCUCAACGGAUAAAAGGUACUCCGGGGAUAACAGGCUGAUACCGCCCAAGAGUUCAUAUCGACGGCGGUGUUUGGCACCUCGAUGUCGGCUCAUCACAUCCUGGGGCUGAAGUAGGUCCCAAGGGUAUGGCUGUUCGCCAUUUAAAGUGGUACGCGAGCUGGGUUUAGAACGUCGUGAGACAGUUCGGUCCCUAUCUGCCGUGGGCGCUGGAGAACUGAGGGGGGCUGCUCCUAGUACGAGAGGACCGGAGUGGACGCAUCACUGGUGUUCGGGUUGUCAUGCCAAUGGCACUGCCCGGUAGCUAAAUGCGGAAGAGAUAAGUGCUGAAAGCAUCUAAGCACGAAACUUGCCCCGAGAUGAGUUCUCCCUGACUCCUUGAGAGUCCUGAAGGAACGUUGAAGACGACGACGUUGAUAGGCCGGGUGUGUAAGCGCAGCGAUGCGUUGAGCUAACCGGUACUAAUGAACCGUGAGGCUUAACCUU